rnacentral:rRNA from 1 species
GAUGAACGCUGGCGGCGUGCCUAAUACAUGCAAGUCGAGCGAACGGACGAGAAGCUUGCUUUUCUGAUGUUAGCGGCGGACGGGUGAGUAACACGUGGAUAACCUACCUAUAAGACUGGGAUAACUUCGGGAAACCGGAGCUAAUACCGGAUAAUAUUUUGAACCGCAUGGUUCAAAAGUGAAAGACGGUCUUGCGGUCACUUAUAGAUGGAUCCGAGCUGCAUUAGCUAGUUGGUAAGGUAACGGCUUACCAAGGCAACGGUGCAUAGCCGACCUGAGAGCGGGACCGGCCUCCAUGCUCCUGCGGGAGGGCCCAGACGCCUACCUGCGGCAGCGGGGGGGAAUAUUGCGGAACGGGCGGGCGCCUGAUGCAGCGGCGCCGCGUUCGUGAUGCCGUCCUUUGGGUUGUAAACCUCUUUCGACUGUGCCGAACCGUUAGUGACGGUACUGAGUAAAAAAGCACCGGCUAACUACGUG